CCCCUCGGGGUCGCGGAUGCUAAUGACUAUUCAGUUUUCUAGACUGAUCCUUCUAAAGCUUAUGCAAAAAAGAAAAAGGAAGGAAAGAGAAAGAAAAGAAAAAAGAACCAACAACUCUGUUUCUAAGAUUUUAAAGCGAUAGACCAGAUGGAGAAGCCGAGAUUGACUUGGGGGAAAGCAAGAGUGCGUGAAGCCGACCCAGCGUUUGGAAGACCAGCCCGCCCGCUUGGAUGUUGGACUGUUGAUUCCUUCAGUUAAUGAAAUGCAUUUGGUGUUAAUCAUAUUUAUCUUAUUUUAUGGGAGGGGGGGACGCUAGGAGGGUGCAUUUAAAAAAAAAAAAUUCUGAAAAGCCUGCAAAACGAUCGAAGAGUGAAAACUAUUGUUGGACCGACUUGGUUUUUACCUCAACAGCGCCACCUUUCGGCAAAGAGAUGUGGAAAAGCCAGAUGUUUUCUCAAGUGAGAAUUCCCGGGACAGCCUCCCAGAUUGCUCCAGCUUCCCUCCCUUCCUCACCCGACAAAGACACCCAGUGUGGCCUGGCAGACAGGAGGUGAUUGAUAAUAGCUCUGUGCAUACACCGACAUUUGAACGAAAGGACUUCUUCGGGGUUUAGGCACCAGAUGGAGAUCCAAAAUGAUGAGGCCUCUUUCCUACUCUCGCCAUUCCAAAUCAACAGAUUUCCAUGCUUGUUGGUUUUUUUUCCCCUUCUUUCCUUUUUUCAGGCCAUGGACAUCUCCCUAGCUUUUUUCUUUUCCUUCAGUUAGGAACCACUUGCAAUUCACCAUUCCAUUGUUACCCUUUUUGAUCCUACUCACAGCUAUACCACGGAGGGAACUUGUCUCGAAAGCAUUCAACCCUUCAAAGAUUUACUGUGCUGAAAUCAGAACGGAUUUUUUUAAAAAGGCAGGAAUAAAGAAACGGACCUGAUAUCGGGACAGUGUUGGUUCAGGAUGUGUCUUCCGUGCAGGGGAAGCCAGGGGACAUGCUGGUGGUACUGCUGCCUCUGUAGAGUUUUGGUCACUCUCCUUCCUCCCCCUGGGUCUGGGGUGAUUCUUAGGUCCUGUGCCAGAGGCAUUUAGCAGCCACUCGACCUGGGAGCUGGAACCUGGAGUUCUGGAAAACACAAACCAAACUUAAAUAUGUGUGUGCUGACUGGAAGAGUCUGCUGAUGCAGAUGAUUUCUGAAUCUGUGUAUUUCUCAGUUUGUUUGGCUGGACCUGAGAGAAGAGAUCCCUUGUGGCCUGUGUUAUAUCUUUGUUCUUGGUUGCAUCAUGGGUUUUGCUGAGCUUUCUCACGUGUUGUUCUGUGCACUGAAAACACCAAACUCGCCCAGUGACACCCUCACGGCAUUAUCCAUCAUGGCAGUGUUGCUGGUUGGACAAACAGAGAACUGAGUGAAACAACCCCGCCCCUACCCCCAAUAAAAAUGAAAGUCCAAUUUA